rnacentral:lncRNA from 1 species
CCAAGGUGGAUUUCCCCCUUUCCUGUGCUGGGCCAAAGCAUCCAAGUGACCUUUGAUUUUUUUUCUUUUUCUCUCUCCUUUUUUUUUUCCCUUUGGCCUUUUUUUGUUUUGUUUUGUUUUGUUUCUGACUCGCCAUAUGUGAGAUAAUUGUGCCCACAGGAAUUCCUUUCAGAGUGCCUAAGCACAAAAGAAAAACACCCGGCCAACUCUUUUUUCUAGGGCAGUACAAACAUUUCCUUAAACCUAAGUGUCUCGGGAGGGGCAUUGACAGAAGGCGCCUUUCACCCAGAAAGCCCGCCCUGCGCCGAGCUGCUGCUGAACCCUCAGCUGCCUCCUGCAUUUUGACGUCACUGCUGGAGUGAAAGUUUUGCCAACAAAAGCAGUCAUGUUCUUUGAUUCCAGCUUUAUGACAAUGGAAAGGAGGCCAGCGCCAAUCGCUCCACGUGGCCAGAGUGGCUUCAGGAAGGAGCAAAAUCACAGUAAGGAGCAAGAGAGCCCAGAGCUUGUCUGGCAGGAGGUGGAAGAAAUGUGGCUGUGCAUCCCAGCACGUGAGCGAGUUUAUCAAAUACGAGGCAGCAGCCGGAACAACAGGAAAUCGCAUUAGAGAGUCCAACUUCUGGUUGGCAGAAGCACGUUAACCUCUCAUUCAUGUCACUGGGUUUAAUGCUCUAACUUUGUAGUAAAAGCGUCUUCCCCGAGCCCGGGUUCAUAAAAGUGUUAGUAGUCCUUGAUGUUCCCAGCAGAGGAUAGUAAGGAAAACACAGCCCUGAAUAGCUCACAUUGAUUGCAGCGAAUACAGAGCAGGAGGGUCAGCACCAUUUCCCAGCCCAGAGCCAGGGCUGCAGAACUGAGCAGCUAUUCAUAGCCACUGGACCCUCUCCAAGCCGAUGCAGUCGGAGCUAUUCCAUUUGGAAGAGUCUCCGUACGGCCUGGCCGCACGCGAAGCGGGAGCCAUGCGAAAGGAAGCUGAACAAGGAGUUUCGGGGACCUGGGUGUUCUUCGCUUGAUUUCCGACAGCCUGUUCUUUCCGGGGACCUGAGGGAUGGCAGGGCUGUGAGAAGAUGCGGGGCUGAAUUUCCAGCGCUGCCGACGAGGGGAGCUGGGCUGCCCUGCAGCAUCCCGGGAGGUCCCUGUCCCCCAAACUCCGGGAAGGACACGGCUUCGGGGUUCGGGUGGGAGCGAUCCCCGGGAAGCGAUGCCGGAAUGGGGGAAAAAAUAAAAUACAUAAAUUACAAAAGCGAGGUGCGAAAUUAGGACUCCAGCACGAGGCAGACGCUGCGAGCCCAAGAACUUGGGCAGGGGGUCCCGCCACUCUCACCUCUACCUUUAGCAGAGGGGAGCAUCGGGGGUCGCGGUAGAGAGCCAUGGAGCAGCCCCUGGGUGUGAGUGGGUGCGGGUGGGCACGCGUGGGGCCGGGUGCCAGAGCCAAAAGCACUUGCCGCGGUUUCUGCAAGGCUCCGAGCGCAAGCGGCGUUAGAAAAGAAAACACCCCGGGCCGAUAAACUCCCACCGAGCAACGCAGAGCAGAGCAGGCUUCCCGCUUCAGAAGUUCUCCCCGUGUAAAGAGGUAUUUCGGUUGUCUCCGAAAUAAUAAAUCCCAACAGCAGACAAUAAAAUUUACUAUC